rnacentral:rRNA from 1 species
AUUGAACGCUGGCGGCAGGCCUAACACAUGCAAGUCGAGCGGAUGGAGGGAGCUUGCUCCUGGAUUCAGCGGCGGACGGGUGAGUAAUGCCUAGGAAUCUGCCUGGUAGUGGGGGAUAACGUCCGGAAACGGGCGCUAAUACCGCAUACGUCCUGAGGGAGAAAGUGGGGGAUCUUCGGACCUCACGCUAUCAGAUGAGCCUAGGUCGGAUUAGCUAGUUGGUGGGGUAAAGGCCUACCAAGGCGACGAUCCGUAACUGGUCUGAGAGGAUGAUCAGUCACACUGGAAAUGAGAAACGGUCCAGAAUCCUAAGGGAGGCAGAAGUGGGGAAUAUUGAGAAAUGGGCGAAAGCCUGAAGGAGAAAUGCCGCGUGAGUGAAGAAGGUAUUCGGAUUGUAAAGCUAUUUAAUUUGGGAAGAAAAAAAGUAAAUGAAAACAUGGAUGUUUUGACGGUACAAAAAGAGAAAGAAAAGGCUAACGUCGGG